GGCGGUGACGAUAGAAGAGAGGUUCCACCUGUUCCCAUCCCGAACACAGAAGUUAAGCUCUCUCUCGCCCAAAGUACUUGGCUUAACAGCCCGGAAGGAUAGGUUGUUGCCGCCU
rnacentral:rRNA from 1 species